rnacentral:rRNA from 1 species
GACGAACGCGGGCGGCGUGCCUAAUACAUGCAAGUCGAGCGAGCUUGCCUAGAUGAAUUUGGUGCUUGCACCAAAUGAAACUAGAUACAAGCGAGCGGCGGACGGGUGAGUAACACGUGGGUAACCUGCCCAAGAGACUAGGAUAACACCUGGAAACAGAUGCUAAUACCGGAUAACAACACUAGACGCAUGUCUAGAGUUUAAAAGAUGGUUCUGCUAUCACUCUUGGAUGGACCUGCGGUGCAUUAGCUAGUUGGUAAGGUAACGGCUUACCAAGGCAAUGAUGCAUAGCCGAGUUGAGAGACUGAUCGGCCACAUUGGGACUGAGACACGGCCCAAACUCCUACGGGAGGCAGCAGUAGGGAAUCUUCCACAAUGGACGCAAGUCUGAUGGAGCAACGCCGCGUGAGUGAAGAAGGGUUUCGGCUCGUAAAGCUCUGUUGGUAGUGAAGAAAGAUAGAGGUAGUAACUGGCCUUUAUUUGACGGUAAUUACUUAGAAAGUCACGGCUAACUACGUGCCAGCAGCCGCGGUAAUACGUAGGUGGCAAGCGUUGUCCGGAUUUAUUGGGCGUAAAGCGAGUGCAGGCGGUUCAAUAAGUCUGAUGUGAAAGCCUUCGGCUCAACCGGAGAAUUGCAUCAGAAACUGUUGAACUUGAGUGCAGAAGAGGAGAGUGGAACUCCAUGUGUAGCGGUGGAAUGCGUAGAUAUAUGGAAGAACACCAGUGGCGAAGGCGGCUCUCUGGUCUGCAACUGACGCUGAGGCUCGAAAGCAUGGGUAGCGAACAGG